rnacentral:rRNA from 1 species
AGAGUUUGAUCAUGGCUCAGGACGAACGCUGGCGGCGUGCUUAACACAUGCAAGUCGAACGAGAAGAGAUGAGAAGCUUGCUUCUAUCAAUUCGAUGGCAAACGGGUGAGUAACGCGUAAGCAACCUGCCCUUCAGAUGGGGACAACAGCUGGAAACGGCUGCUAAUACCGAAUACGUUCUUUUUGUCGCAUGGCAGAGGGAAGAAAGGGAGGCUCUUCGGAGCUUUCGCUGAAGGAGGGGCUUGCGUCUGAUUAGCUUGUUGGCGGGGUAACGGCCCACCAAGGCGACGAUCAGUAGGGGUUCUGAGAGGAAGGUCCCCCACAUUGGAACUGAGACACGGUCCAAACUCCUACGGGAGGCAGCC